ACAUGGAACACUCUGCCUGGUUAUAUCAUUCAAGAAAAUAGCAAAAAUCUAUUUAAAAUAUUAUUGAAAAAACAUCUCCUAGCUGAACAACUCUCUGUGUCACUGAUAUUUAGCUAACAUCAAAUCAUAAAAGGUUUAAUGUUGGAUAAAUACAGUCCCGUCCAACCUAGCUGUUGGAUAAAUACAAAGUCCCGUUAAUAAUAAUGGUAAAAUAAAUUGUUGCUUGUUCUGUUUUUGUAUGUUUUUGUAUUUUGAAAUAAUAUGCUAUGGUCCAACCACCAAUGAAUCAUAUUUACCUCUAUCAAAUUUAUGUCUUGAAUAUUGUUGUGUUUUGUUGCAGUCGCUUUUGAUGUUGUGGUCGUUGUUGGUAAAGAUUGUAAUGUGAUUGUGUACUGAAAUGUGUAGCCUAACAUUUCAAAGUGAUUUAAG